AAUGGGCGCAAGCCUGAUCCAGCCAUGCCGCGUGAGUGAAGAAGGCCUUCGGGUUGUAAAGCUCUUUCGGCCGGGAAGAAAUCGUGUUCUCUAACAUAGGACAUGGAUGACGGUACCGGACUAAGAAGCACCGGCUAACUACGUGCCAGCAGCCGCGGUAAUACGUAGGGUGCGAGCGUUAAUCGGAAUUACUGGGCGUAAAGCGUGCGCAGGCGGUUUGCUAAGACAGGUGUGAAAUCCCCGGGCUUAACCUGGGAACUGCGCUUGUGACUGGCAGGCUAGAGUACGGCAGAGGGGGGUGGAAUUCCUGGUGUAGCAGUGAAAUGCGUAGAGAUCAGGAGGAACACCGAUGGCGAAGGCAGCCCCCUGGGCCUGUACUGACGCUCAUGCACGAAAGCGUGGGGAGCAAA
rnacentral:rRNA from 1 species